rnacentral:rRNA from 1 species
GAGUUUGAUCAUGGCUCAGGAUGAACGCUAGCGGCAGGCUUAAUACAUGCAAGUCGAGGGGCAGCAGCUUUAUAGCAAUAUAGAGGCUGGCGACCGGCAAACGGGUGCGGAACACGUACACAACCUUCCUUGAAUAGGGGGAUAGCCCAUAGAAAUGUGGAUUAAUACCCCGUAAUAUAGCGGUGUGGCAUCACACUGUUAUUAUAGUUUCGGCGAUUCGAGAUGGGUGUGCGGCUGAUUAGGUAGUUGGCGGGGUAAAGGCCCACCAAGCCUUCGAUCAGUAGCUGACGUGAGAGCAUGAUCAGCCACACGGGCACUGAGACACGGGCCCGACUCCUACGGGAGGCAGCAGUAAGGAAUAUUGGUCAAUGGACGCAAGUYUGAACCAGCCAUGCCGCGUGAAGGAUGAAGGUCCUCUGGAUUGUAAACUUCUUUUAUAGGGGGCGAAAAAAGGUCUUUCUAGAUCACUUGACAGUACCCU